rnacentral:rRNA from 1 species
AGUGAACGCUGGCGGUAGGCCUAACACAUGCAAGUCGAACGGCAGCACAGUAAGAGCUUGCUCUUACGGGUGGCGAGUGGCGGACGGGUGAGGAAUACAUCGGAAUCUACUUUUUCGUGGGGGAUAACGUAGGGAAACUUACGCUAAUACCGCAUACGACCUACGGGUGAAAGCAGGGGAUCUUCGGACCUUGCGCGAUUGAAUGAGACGAUGUCGGAUUAGCUAGUUGGCGGGGUAAAGGCCCACCAAGGCGACGAUCCGUAGCUGGUCUGAGAGGAUGAUCAGCCACACUGGAACUGAGACACGGUCCAGACUCCUACGGGAGGCAGCAGUUGGGAAUAUUGGACAAUGGGCGCAAGCCUGAUCCAGCCAUACCGCGUGGGUGAAGAAGGCCUUCGGGUUGUAAAGCCCUUUUGUUGGGAAAGAAAAGCAGCAGGUUAAUACCCCGCUGUUCUGACGGUACCCAAAGAAUAAGUACCGGCUAACUUCGUG